rnacentral:rRNA from 1 species
ACGCUGGCGGCGUGCCUAAUACAUGCAAGUAGAACGCUGAAGAGAGGAGCUUGCUCUUCUUGGAUGAGUUGCGAACGGGUGAGUAACGCGUAGGUAACCUGCCUUGUAGCGAGGGAUAACUAUUGGAAACGAUAGCUAAUACCGCAUAACAAUGGGUGACACAUGUCAUUUAUUUGAAAGGGGCAAUUGCUCCACUACAAGAUGGACCUGCGUUGUAUUAGCUAGUAGGUGAGGUAACGGCUCACCUAGGCGACGAUACAUAGCCGACCUGAGAGGGUGAUCGGCCACACUGGGACUGAGACACGGCCCAGACUCCUACGGGAGGCAGCAGUAGGGAAUCUUCGGCAAUGGGGGCAACCCUGACCGAGCAACGCCGCGUGAGUGAAGAAGGUUUUCGGAUCGUAAAGCUCUGUUGUAAGUCAAGAACGAGUGUGAGAGUGGAAAGUUCACACUGUGACGGUAGCUUACCAGAAAGGGACGGCUAACUACGUGCCAGCAGCCGCGGUAAUACGUAGGUCCCGAGCGUUGUCCGGAUUUAUUGGGCGUAAAGCGAGCGCAGGCGGUUUGAUAAGUCUGAAGUUAAAGGCUGUGGCUCAACCAUAGUUCGCUUUGGAAACUGUCAAACUUGAGUGCAGAAGGGGAGAGUGGAAUUCCAUGUGUAGCGGUGAAAUGCGUAGAUAUAUGGAGGAACACCGGUGGCGAAAGCGGCUCUCUGGUCUGUAACUGACGCUGAGGCUCGAAAGCGUGGGGAGCGAACAGGAUUAGAUACCCUGGUAGUCCACGCCGUAAACGAUGAGUGCUAGGUGUUGGAUCCUUUCCGGGAUUCAGUGCCGCAGCUAACGCAUUAAGCACUCCGCCUGGGGAGUACGACCGCAAGGUUGAAACUCAAAGGAAUUGACGGGGGCCCGCAC